UACGUAGGGGGCUAGCGUUGUCCGGAUUUAUUGGGCGUAAAGAGCUCGUAGGCGGCUUGUCGCGUCGACUGUGAAAUCCCGCGGCUCAACUGCGGGUCUGCAGUCGAUACGGGCAGGCUAGAGUUCGGUAGGGGAGACUGGAAUUCCUGGUGUAGCGGUGAAAUGCGCAGAUAUCAGGAGGAACACCGAUGGCGAAGGCAGGUCUCUGGGCAUUAACUGACGCUGAGGAGCGAAAGCAUGGGGAGCGAACAGG
rnacentral:rRNA from 1 species